CUACCCUGCCGCAGCCUACCCAUGCAAGUCGAGCGGUAGCACAGAGAGCUUGCUCUCGGGUGACGAGCGGCGGACGGGUGAGUAAUGUCUGGGAAACUGCCUGAUGGAGGGGGAUAACUACUGGAAACGGUAGCUAAUACCGCAUAAUGUCGCAAGACCAAAGUGGGGGACCUUCGGGCCUCAUGCCAUCAGAUGUGCCCAGAUGGGAUUAGCUAGUAGGUGGGGUAACGGCUCACCUAGGCGACGAUCCCUAGCUGGUCUGAGAGGAUGACCAGCCACACUGGAACUGAGACACGGUCCAGACUCCUACGGGAGGCAGCAGUGGGGAAUAUUGCACAAUGGGCGCAAGCCUGAUGCAGCCAUGCCGCGUGUGUGAAGAAGGCCUUCGGGUUGUAAAGCACUUUCAGCGGGGAGGAAGGCGGUGAGGUUAAUAACCUUGUCGAUUGACGUUACCCGCAGAAGAAGCACCGGCUAACUCCGUGCCAGCAGCCGCGGUAAUACGGAGGGUGCAAGCGUUAAUCGGAAUUACUGGGCGUAAAGCGCACGCAGGCGGUCUGUCAAGUCGGAUGUGAAAUCCCCGGGCUCAACSUGGGAACUGCAUUCGAAACUGGCAGGCUAGAGUCUUGUAGAGGGGGGUAGAAUUCCAGGUGUAGCGGUGAAAUGCGUAGAGAUCUGGAGGAAUACCGGUGGCGAAGGCGGCCCCCUGGACAAAGACUGACGCUCAGGUGCGAAAGCGUGGGGAGCAAACAGGAUUAGAUACCCUGGUAGUCCACGCCGUAAACGAUGUCGAUUUGGAGGUUGUGCCCUUGAGGCGUGGCUUCCGGAGCUAACGCGUUAAAUCGACCGCCUGGGGAGUACGGCCGCAAGGUUAAAACUCAAAUGAAUUGACGGGGGCCCGCACAAGCGGUGGAGCAUGUGGUUUAAUUCGAUGCAACGCGAAGAACCUUACCUGGUCUUGACAUCCACAGAACUUUCCAGAGAUGGAUUGGUGCCUUCGGGAACUGUGAGACAGGUGCUGCAUGGCUGUCGUCAGCUCGUGUUGUGAAAUGUUGGGUUAAGUCCCGCAACGAGCGCAACCCUUAUCCUUUGUUGCCAGCGGUUAGGCCGGGAACUCAAAGGAGACUGCCAGUGAUAAACUGGAGGAAGGUGGGGAUGACGUCAAGUCAUCAUGGCCCUUACGACCAGGGCUACACACGUGCUACAAUGGCAUAUACAAAGAGAAGCGACCUCGCGAGAGCAAGCGGACCUCAUAAAGUAUGUCGUAGUCCGGAUUGGAGUCUGCAACUCGACUCCAUGAAGUCGGAAUCGCUAGUAAUCGUAGAUCAGAAUGCUACGGUGAAUACGUUCCCGGGCCUUGUACACACCGCCCGUCACACCAUGGGAGUGGGUUGCAAAAGAAGUAGGUAGCUUAACCUUCGGGAGGGCGCUACCACUUGGAUAAGAACUUUAAAAA
rnacentral:rRNA from 1 species